rnacentral:rRNA from 1 species
UCGAGAAUUUUUCUCAAUGGGCGAAAGCCUGAAGGAGCGACGCCGCGUGGGGGAUGAAGGGCUUCGGCCCGUAAACCCCUGUCAUUUGCGAACAAACCUUGCCACUUAAAACAUGAAGAGCUGAUUGUAGCGAAAGAGGAAGGGACGGCUAACUCUGUGCCAGCAGCCGCGGUAAUACAGAGGUCCCAAGCGUUGUUCGGAUUCACUGGGCGUAAAGGGUGCGUAGGUGGUCGGGUAAGUCUGAUGUGAAAUCUCCGAGCUUAACUCGGAAAUGGCAUUGGAUACUAUUCGGCUGGAGGGUUGGAGGGGGGACUGGAAUUCUCGGUGUAGCAGUGAAAUGCGUAGAUAUCGAGAGGAACACCAGUGGCGAAGGCGAGUCCCUGGACAACUCCUGACACUGAGGCACGAAAGCUAGGGGAGCAAACAGGAUUAGAUACCCCUGUAGUCC